GACGAACGCUGGCGGCGUGCUUAACACAUGCAAGUCGAACGAAGAGACUUGGAAGCUUGCUUCUAAGAAUCUUAGUGGCGAACGGGUGAGUAACGCGUAAUCAACCUGCCCUUCAGAGGGGGACAACAGUUGGAAACGACUGCUAAUACCGCAUACGAUCCAAUCUCGGCAUCGAGGAUGGAUGAAAGGUGGCCUCUAUUUAUAAGCUAUCACUGAAGGAGGGGAUUGCGUCUGAUUAGCUAGUUGGAGGGGUAACGGCCCACCAAGGCGAUGAUCAGUAGCCGGUCUGAGAGGAUGAACGGCCACAUUGGGACUGAGACACGGCCCAGACUCCUACGGGAGGCAGCAGUGGGGAAUCUUCCGCAAUGGACGAAAGUCUGACGGAGCAACGCCGCGUGAGUGAUGACGGCCUUCGGGUUGUAAAGCUCUGUUAAUCGGGACGAAAGGCCUUCUUGCGAAUAGUUAGAAGGAU
rnacentral:rRNA from 1 species